rnacentral:rRNA from 1 species
UUCGAUUCUGGCUCAGGAUGAACGCUGGCGGCGUGCCUAACACAUGCAAGUCGAACGAGAUCCAUUAAUUGAAGCUUCGGCAGAUUUAGGAAGAUCGAGUGGCGGACGGGUGAGUAACGCGUGGGUAACCUGCCUUACAGAGGGGGAUAACAGAAAGAAAUUUCUGCUAAUACCGCAUAAGCACACAGUACCGCAUGGUACAGGGUGAAAAGAUUUAUCACUGUAAGAUGGACCCGCGUCUGAUUAGCCAGUUGGCAGGGUAACGGCCUACCAAGCGACGAUCAGUAGCCGACCUGAGAGGGUGAUCGGCCACAUUGGGACUGAGACACGGCCCAAACUCCUACGGGAGGCAGCAGUGGGGGAUAUUGCACAAUGGAGGAAACUCUGAUGCAGCCGACGCCGCGUGAGUGAAGAAGUAUUUCGGUAUGUAAAGCUCUAUCAGCAGGGAAGAUAAUGACAGUACCUGACUAAGAAGCCCCGGCUAACUACGUGCCAGCCGCGGC